rnacentral:rRNA from 1 species
AGUGAACGCUGGCGGCAUGCCUAAUACAUGCAAGUCGAACGGAAGCACAGUAAGCGUUCGCCUUUGCGGGUGGCGAGGGGCGGGUGGGUAAGGCAUACAUCAGCAUCCUAUUUUUCGUGGGUGACAACGGAGGGACAGUGAUGAUAACAGCUAAUAUUUUCAACCGGAGAGAUCAAGGGUUCAAGGCAGUUUUCGUGUCAGAAUGAGCCGAUGUCGCAUUAGCUAGUUGGCGAGGUAACGGCCCACCAAGGCGACGAUCCGUAGCUGGUCUGAGAGGAUGAUCAGCCACACUGGAACUGAGACACGGUCCAGACUCCUACGGGAGGCAGCAGUGGGGAAUAUUGCACAAUGGGCGCAAGCCUGAUCCAGCAAUACCGCGUGGGUGAAGAAGGCCUUCGGGUUGUAAAGCUCUUUUGUUAGGAAAGAACAGCAGUGUGAUAAACCCUGGCUGUUCUGACGGUACCCAAAGAAUAAGCACCGGCUAACUUCGUG